rnacentral:rRNA from 1 species
AUUGAACGCUGGCGGCAUGCCUUACACAUGCAAGUCGAACGGUAACAGGCCUUCGGGUGCCGACGAGUGGCGAACGGGUGAGUAAUACAUCGGAACGUGCCCGAGCGAGGGGGAUAACGAGGCGAAAGCUUUGCUAAUACCGCAUACGAUCUACGGAUGAAAGCAGGGGACCGCAAGGCCUUGCGCGGACGGAGCGGCCGAUGGCAGAUUAGGUAGUUGGUGGGAUAAAAGCUUACCAAGCCGACGAUCUGUAGCUGGUCUGAGAGGAUGAUCAGCCACACUGGGACUGAGACACGGCCCAGACUCCUACGGGAGGCAGCAGUGGGGAACUUUGGACAAUGGGCGCAAGCCUGAUCCAGCCAUGCCGCGUGCAGGAUGAAGGCCUUCGGGUUGUAAACUGCUUUUGUACGGAACGAAAAGCCUUCUUUUAAUACAGGAGGGUCAUGACGGUACCGUAAGAAUAAGCACCGGCUAACUACGUG